CUUCAGUGAUGACAAGAUGACGAGUCAGAAAGGACACAUCCUGCUCUGAGUCCCUUGGCACUGGCACGUUCUGUGUCACUGUACAUGGGGGCCUUUGCAAAAGUGUCUUGUCUUUGGUUGAUCUAGAGGCAUUUGUCUGAGAAGA